AGCUGUAAGCAAGCUUUGAUCCGGAGAUUUCCGAAUGGGGAAACCCACCACUCGUAAUGGAGUGGUAUCCAUAUCUGAAUACAUAGGAUAUGAGAAGGCAGACCCGGGGAACUGAAACAUCUAAGUACCCGGAGGAAGAGAAAGCAAAUGCGAUUCCCUGAGUAGCGGCGAGCGAAACGGGACCAGCCCAAACCAAGAGGCUUGCCUCUUGGGGUUGUAGGACAC
rnacentral:rRNA from 1 species